rnacentral:tRNA from 1 species
GGGCGGGUAUUCUAGCACGGAUAAGGAGACAGCCUCCUAAGCUGUAUGUCUAGGGUUCGAAUCCCUACCCGCCCG